GUCUCCUCAUACUGUAUGUCCCCUUACUUCUCUACAGCUGAAAAGCAGGACAGAUUAGAGACUCUAGCUAAGGACUCUUCUGCAAGCAGCCGAUUUGAGGACACCCCAGGAGAGGGAGGCCAUGAGAUACACUGCCAACCAAAAGUGAUUUCAGAGUCUUCUUGAGUCAAGCAGCAUUUCUUUCUAUUUGUUCUUUGUGUUUCUGCCAGCAAGGUAGGCGCUCCCUAUUCCCACCUUCCUUUUCUUUCCUUCCAGACUGAUUCUUAUUUGAACCUGAAAUGAAAAGGAAUACCACGCAGACCUUCAGGAGAUUGUUUUCAAACAUAUGAGGCACCUGAUGAUGAAGGAGAGACCGAUUGGAACACUCAGGAUAACCCAUAGAAGAUUUUUGUUUGGGUCGUUUUGAAUGACUUUUUAUUGUGAACCUAGUACACACUUAUUGUACCAAAUUUGAACUAAAAAAUGCAUGAAGAAGAAAGUUACCUGUCAUCCUGCUCCCCAGUGCAAAGAACUGUUAACUUUUUGCUAUACAGCCUUAGCUUUUUUAAAAAAACAAAUUGUAUCUAUAAAAUUAUUUCUUCACAAAUAGGAUUAUGUAAUAUGCAUCAUUUUGAAACUUGCUUUUCUCCUCUUCUGUUGUGUUCCUUUCUCCCCAGUCAUGACACAUUCUUCCCUGACAUCACAUUUCAUGGCUGCCCAUUUUUCUAACCUAUGAGUAUGUGAGUGUUUAGCCAAUAUACCAUUAUUGGGCAUUUAUGUUUUUUCCAGUUCCUCAUUAUAAACAACACUCAAAUGAAUGUCACUGCAGAAAAA